rnacentral:rRNA from 1 species
UCACCUACGGGAGGCAGCAGUGAGGAAUAUUGGUCAAUGGACGAGAGUCUGAACCAGCCAAGUAGCGUGAAGGAUGACUGCCCUAUGGGUUGUAAACUUCUUUUAUAUGGGAAUAAAGUUUUCCACGUGUGGAAUUUUGUAUUUACCAUAUGAAUAAGGAUCGGCUAACUCCGUGCCAGCAGCCGCGGUAAUACUGAGGAUCCGAGCUUUAUCCGGAUUUAUUGUGUUUAAAG